rnacentral:ncRNA from 1 species
UUCCGGUCUCCUGAGAGUGAAAAGGGAAUCCAGUGCAAAUCUGGAGCUGACGCGCAGCGGUAACGACUGGCGGGAUAAGAGCAGCAGACACUGCGAAAGCGGGAAGUCUUUAUCCACAACACGCCACCCAGCCCGAAGACCUGCCGGAAUC